rnacentral:lncRNA from 1 species
CUUUUCUUACCAGGUGAACAGAAAUCAUCUGCUAAUGCCAGAAACUUUAAAGCUCUUAAUUCAGCUGGAAACAACUAAAAUAGUUUAAGAAGGAGAUAAAAAUGUAAGCACCCACAAGUCUCAGUUCUAAGUUAUUUUGCAUGUGAUUUGUGUUUCUGCUAUCUAAAAAAGUGUUCAAAUUUAUUUUGAUAUUUAUAUUGUACCAUCAAUCUUUUAUAUAGAAAAGCAACAAGUAGAUCUGUCGCUUAGGGCAUUAUUUUCAUUUUUGAUAAUCUAUUUUGAAUAUUUUGCUUUUAUUUAAAGUUCUGAGUAUGCAGGAUAAUAGGUAUGUUCGGAUCAUUUUUUGGAAUUCCCUAUUAUUAAGGUAUAGGGUUUCUUCUGUCCAAAUAAAAACAGAUUUUUACUUUUUUUUUUUUUUUUUUUGCUGAUUAUCAACAUUAUGGCUCAUUUUAAGUAAUUCCGAAAAUGUAAACAUUGUUUUGAAACCCGUCAACCAUGGAGUAUCACUGUUGACAUUCUAGCCUUUUAGUCUUUUUGUUUCCUAUGCAUGCUCAGUUUUUUCUGUGAAUACUGAAUGUAGUUAUAGAAAAAGUAUGAGGCCUUAAAUAAUUAUGCCUCAGAAUAAAAAUUUGGAAAAGCCUGACUGUGAAAGGAAAGCAGUAGGUAAAUUUUAAACCCUAAUAUUUUUGACCAAAGUUGAAGCAAAACUUCUCUUUUUAAUGUUUUUCUGUCUUGUUUAGCCACAAA